UUUUGGGUCAACUGGAAACACUCCUCUUGUCCUGCUUGGUGUGCAAGUUUCUGCAUCUGCAAGGGAGCCUGUGGAUCCCUUUUCAUGUAUGGAGGGGAAUGGAAAAAGCAUGAGAAAUCCCUUGAAUUAUUUGAAGAAAGGAUUGAUCCUGCUCCUGGUUUGACAGCUGUCUCCUAGGGGACCUUCACUGAACAGCAGGCAAAGAAUUCCAGUGGAAGUUUCAGUGCACAUCAGCAGCUAUGGGAAAUGAGGAAUCGGGACAGCAGGAGUUCAAGAGUUUUGCAGGAAGAGCAGCAAAAUGUGCUUUUGUCAAUCUCUUUGGGUUUUGGGCUAGGUUUCUGAUGAGCAAUCUGAAGAGCAGUGACUGCCUGGAGGACCAGGGGUACUGUGCUGGCUGGGAUCCUCAUGCUGCCCCCUGCUUCCACAAGAAGUACAGGGAAUACUGAGCAACACCCACCACAGCAUGUUCUUCAGAGGCAUAUAAGGAUGGCCAGUGUCCCACCUUGCCAGGCAGGUGAAUGGAAGCUUACCCACUGCCUUACUGCGUGUGAUUGCAACCCAUGCCUGUGAUUAGCGAUGAAAUGAAACCCAUGGCUUGAAAUCACUUAUCCAACGUAUCCGAACAAACACAGACAUCCUCUGUGCUGGGAGAGAAAUGCAAGUUGGAGCCAGCUAGCCUGCUGCAGAGGUUUAUGAUAGAUUGAUGAGCUGAGAACAAGAUGCCACCUUCCACCCCCAUCAUCAGUGACUUUCCAGCCUGGUGGAAAGGGGGUGCUGAGGCUGGAGGUGAGGGAUAUACUUUCUGCUAAGUGUUACAGUGGGAGGUGAGAAAUAUGAGUUCCCCAGAGGAGGAAA